CUAGAGUUUGAUCAUGGCUCAGAUUGAACGCUGGCGGCAGGCCUAACACAUGCAAGUCGAGCGGUAACAGGAAGAAAGCUUGCUUUCUUUGCUGACGAGCGGCGGACGGGUGAGUAAUGCCUGGGAAAUUGCCCUGAUGUGGGGGAUAACCAUUGGAAACGAUGGCUAAUACCGCAUGAUGCCUACGGGCCAAAGAGGGGGACCUUCGGGCCUCUCGCGUCAGGAUAUGCCCAGGUGGGAUUAGCUAGUUGGUGAGGUAAUGGCUCACCAAGGCGACGAUCCCUAGCUGGUCUGAGAGGAUGAUCAGCCACACUGGAACUGAGACACGGUCCAGACUCCUACGGGAGGCAGCAGUGGGGAAUAUUGCACAAUGGGCGCAAGCCUGAUGCAGCCAUGCCGCGUGUAUGAAGAAGGCCUUCGGGUUGUAAAGUACUUUCAGUGGUGAGGAAGGGUGUGUUGUUAAUAGCAGCAUGCCUUGACGUAGCCACCAGAGAG
rnacentral:rRNA from 1 species